GAUAUCAGGGUCAAAAGGUCAAAAAGCCGUUCGUGCUUGCACGAUUAGGCUUUUGAACCUGGGACCCGCAAAACAUGAGGAAUCAGCGGAUUCCGAAUGUUUUAGAAUUGCGGGAGCUGUUUUACAGCGGAGCAAUUCGAGGAUAU
rnacentral:sRNA from 1 species